rnacentral:lncRNA from 1 species
GUUAGGAUGAGAGGUCCUUCCUGGCUGCAGGUGGCUUUGGUUGAGGUCGCUUUGUCAAGAAGCCUGACUCUCGCUAGACCACGCACAGCGCGAUCAAGAUUAUGGGGUCCUCCAAGAUUCCUAGAGAGACUCACAGAGGAUUGGCCGGUCGGUGAGAUGAUGUAUUUCCGGGCCAGGAAUCUUUAAAACCUGAGAGCGUGGAUGGUGAGAGGCCGUUAGAAUCCCUCCGUAGGUCCUGAAAAAUCUAAGCCUGCAUUUGCUACAGAACUGAAAGAUUUGAUCAUGGAAGAUAUCACCAUAAAAGCAGAGCCUCAGGAACCAGUGAUAUUUGAAGAUGAGGCUGUGUACUUCACGGAGCAGGAAUUGGCCAGCUUGACACUUGAUCAGAAGGCCCUGCACGAGGAAGUGGUGCUUGAGAACUUUGCACAUGUGGCUUUGCUGGGUUGCUAUGAUAUGUUUGAAGAAAUGGGCCUUGGAGCUGGAGAGAUAACUUAGCAGUUAAGACAACUGGCUGUUGUCUUAGUUUAAUAUUGCUACGAAGAGACACCUUUAUAAAAGAAAGCAUCUAAUUGGGAUCUUGCUUUCAGCAGGGGUCCAUGAUCAUCAUAGUAAGGAGUGUGGCUGCAGGAGGAGGCAUGGUGGUAGAACAGUAGCUAUGAGCUUGCAUCCUUGUGUGAAAGCAUGAGGCAGAGGGGAAGAGAGGAAGAGCAGACAGAGAAAUGACCUUGAGGCUCAUCCCCAAUGACACCCCUUCCAACAAGGCCACACCCUUCCAAAACAGUUCUGAUAACUCAGGACCAAGUACCACACUGCUCUUGCUCAGAACCCAAGUUUUGGUUUCCAGCACCCAUAUCAGGUAGCUCAUAACUGCCUAUAAUUCCAAUUCCUGGGAAUCUGACACCCUUUUGGGGAUUUAUGCACCAUGUGUAUAAAAAUAAACCUUAAGAAAUGGGCCUUAUAGAAGGCCUUGUCUUCACCUCAUAGGCUGAGAAUCUGGUUAUUUUACUUCAGGCACUAACCCGGAUCUGUUCUUCAGCUGUGUUCUUUCUCUUCCUCCAUUGUCUGCAAAAUCUCCUAUUGUAGCAGGGACACUUAGAACCAUUAACCAGAUGGGAGCCAUAUUUUGGUGAUUUUAAAAGUGUGUCAUCAAGAAAAAAAUUUCCCUUGUCUUCUGGGGCAACAUGAAGUAAAAGUAUUUCAAUAACUGAGGCCUCUUCGCCCUCCCCUCAGGAUUUCCCGUCUCUUGUCUCUGUCACUCGUCUCCUAGUCUGUCUCUGUCUCUUGUCUCCUUGUCGUCUGUCUCUGUCACUCGUCUCCUAGUCUGUCUCUGUCACUUGUCUCCUUGUCUGUUUUGAAGUCGCCUGACCAGAUUUAUGGGGGUGUUGAAUUCCAGUGGAACGAACUUUAUCAAAUCAAAUCCAUAGUGAAAAUCAAUCAAUAUGUAACUGGUGAGCUUUCAAAUGCUUCUUCAUGCAUCUUUAGGCUUGGUUAACUAGCCUACUGUACUGGCUGGUUUUGUGGGUCAACUUGACACAAGCUGGAAUUAUCACAGAGAAAGGAGCCUCCCUUGAGGAAAUGCCCCCAUGAGAUCCAACUGUAACACAUUUUUUUUCAAUUAGUGAUCAAGGAGGGAGGGCCCAUUGUGGGUGGUGCCAUCCCUGGGCUGGUAGUCCUGGGUUCUAUAAGAGAGCAGGCUGAGCAAGCCAAGGAAGCAAGCCAGUAAAGAACAUCCCUCCAUGGCCUCUACAUCCACUCCUGCUUCCUGCCCUGCUUGAGUUCCAGUCCUGACCUCCUUGGUGAUGAACAGCACUGUGGAAGUGUAAGCUGAAUAAACCCUUUCAUCCCCAAAAAAAAAAAAAAAAAAAAAAAAAAAAAAAAAAAAAAAAAAAAAAAAAAAAAAAAAAAAAA